rnacentral:tRNA from 1 species
AGGAGGUUAGCUCAGUUGGUAGAGCGCCACCCUUACAAGGUGGAUGUCGUCGGUUCGAGCCCGGCACCUCCUACCA